AUCAAUUUUAUUAUGACAAAUGGAACUUUUUACAUUGGAAUGUAAAGCAACAAGAUUAAGAUCAGAAGAACAAACAGGAGUACAAGAAUCUUUAUUGGAGCAUACAGAAGUGGAAGAAGAACAAUGAACAGAAGAAGAUGAAGGGGGCAUCCAAGCAAAUUUGUACAAACCAGCCGCCUCUUUACCAAGAUCCAGAGGCAUCUUCAGAGAAGGGGCUUGUAACAUGUGAAGAAAACAAGAAGUUGCAGUAAAUAGGACAAUACAGUGCAACUGUUUCACUAGCUUGUGGACAGAAAUUAAAUUGUGUUUGAAAGAUGGAACAAACAGUACAUUAUGAAGAGUAAUGGAGGGAGUUAAAGCAAAAGAGCCAGUUGAAGUCACUUUUACUUUGUAUCCAUUAGGAAGAGUUACAAGAUAAGGUACAAGUAAAUGUGUGAUAUUGAAGAGUAAGUCCUUAUUAAAUGUCAUGUGAUCAGAAGCUCUUGAAUCUAUUAUCCAGGAGACAUAAUCAAUAUGAGUAAGUAGACAGAAUUUGGAAUCAGAAACAGGACUCUCAGUAAGCAUAGUACCAGCAAAGUUGGCAGCACACAUAGUAGGAGAGGUCUGAGCAGUGGAGUCACCCAACUUGGACUGUUGCAGCAGGUUUAUCAAUUGAUCCACACAUAGUAGGAGAGGUCUGAGCAGGAGAAGUUUGAGCAGUGGAGUCACCCAAUUUGGACUAUUGCAGCAGAUUCAUCAAUUGAUCAUAAUGUUGUCUGCUCAAUCCAGGAAUUGCAGAACCAUGUCCAUCUACAUGUUGGACAGAUGAAUAACCCUCAAUAUGAUUUCCAGAAGGAUGAGAAUUGUGGCCAUCAGAAGAAGUAGAGGAGGUCAAAUCAACACCAGUGGUGACAUGGGCAGUAGUAGGUCUCUUCCCUUUGUUAAACCUGAUGCUUUGAAGAAAUCCAUGAAGUUUGUAACACUUAUCAAUUAAGUGCCCAGACCUCUUGCAAUAUCUACAGAAGAGAGGUCCUCUGGACUGAUCAAAAGUAACUCUCUGGGCAUACUGUCUGAGAGGAGGAGAAUUGGGCAAGGUAGCUUGACUGAAAGAAGGUGUAGAAGGUUUAUGUGUGUUGACACUGAAGGACAUCGAGUCAGGAUUGAACUGGGAGACAGACUGAACUUGUCUCUGUUUUUCAUAAUUGAGGAGAAUGUUAUAGACACUGUCAAGACUAGGAGGAGGUUGCAUCAUUAACAAGUUGCUCCUUACCCCCAU
rnacentral:lncRNA from 1 species